UAGCAUAGUUGGUAGCGCGUCUGCCUUGUAAGCGCUAGGCCGCGGGUUCGAUUCCCGC
rnacentral:tRNA from 1 species